GUGAAGGUAGCUUAGGGGUAGAGUGCUUGCUUUGCAUGCAUGAGGCCCUGGGUUCAAUUUCUCAGCAUCACA
rnacentral:tRNA from 1 species